GGAGAAGAAGUGCCAAAAACAAGACAACAAAUUUCAUUGCAGCAGCAGAUCAAUCUUAAAACUGGUUCAACAUUUACAUUUGACUAUCUGAUCGUUAGAAAAUAACAAGGCAAUCUAAGGCAAUACGUCUCGAUUUCACCUUGGCGGUGCGAGUAUUUAUAGACUGAUGAAUGGACCUAAAAAAAUAAAUAUUCUGGCCUGGAAUGGGAGCCGGUUCAAUUCUGGGAUACUUAUUUGGGAAUCAGAGACGCCAGCCACACAUGGGACCAUCUUACACCACAGGACCCUCUUACAACAGCAGACCUUCCCCAAAACCAAAAACAAGUUCAGGGACACGCACUGCAUCACGUUUCGGAGGAACUAAAAAAAGAUGAUUGAAGAUGAGAUGUACAGAGGACUUAGAGCGCCACUUUUAAAUAAAAUGAGAAAUACAUUUUUCAAUUUAAUAAAUCAAACAUAUAAAUGUAAUAUCUGAACUCCAUUAGUUCAAGUUUUUUCAUGCUAAGGUUAAAGUGAAAAUUAUGCGUCUCCUUGAUACCAAUGACAAAUGGCAUUUUCGUUUGGUUUUAAUUAUAAUACACAAAGACGACACACAAAAGUAAAAUGUGUUGUAAAUGAAUGUUGAAUUGAAGACCAUCUAUAGAUUAUACCAAUGCACAUAUUGACAAAAAUUGCCAGCAUACGGCCCAUAUUUGUAUCCAAUCAGCUACCCUCUAGAAUAAAAAUGCCCCCCCCAUCAUCUGCAGUUCACUGGAAAAUAGCUAAAUUAUUGUUGUUACUGGAUUGUGAUUUAACCAUGGAUUGUAUUGUUUUGUGUGGUUCUUUUUCUGUUUUAUUUUAUUUAGAGGAUUGAUAAUUGAAUUGAUAAUAUAUUUGGCUUUUGUGGUGAAGCCUUAUAUUUAUGAUCCUUGAUAAUUUGAUUGCUGAAAUGAAUUGUGACCAAAUUGGGUAACUUUCAUAUAACUCCAUCAAGUGGCCUAUACUGGGAUGUCUUGUUCAUACUGGUUCACUGCCAUGCAUAAGAUAAAAGCACACCAAUCAGCAGUCAUGUCAUAUUUUGUUUUUGAUAGUAGUGUAAUAAACUGAAAAAUAAAUAAGAUGUGUGUGACAUUGUGUGCCUGCACCUGCAUUUAUUUACAUCCUCUAUUUGUGUGUUUGAUUUGUUUAAAACAUAAUUUCCACUUUCACAAUACAAAAUCUUUAUUGUUUUGUGUUAGUACAAGUAUGCAAUGCAACAGAUGGUUGUCAUGUAUUUAAUUUAUGGAUUUAUUCGUCUUUUCAUUCAUAAUUUUUUCCUUUUAAGAUGGUAACAUUUGGGAGACAUUGCUUUUCCCCACUUUCACCAGCAGAGGUCCUUGUAGAACUUGGAUUUGAAAAACUUUGAGUAAUGAAUCUUAAUGCAAUUGUGCAAAAUUGUGGUUCACUUCACCAUCACUACUUUAAACUAUCACAUGGUCUUUAAAUGACAUGCAAGUUCUUUGCUAUAAUUAGAAAUAAGACUGUACUAUAAUGAUUAAAGUGUAUAGCUCACAUGAUGUGAAAGAAUGCAAACUUACUGUAUGGAGAGGGUCAUUUAAGGAAUAAACUUUUAAAUGGCUUUAUUUCCUAUUGUUCUGAUGAUAAUAAAGCACUUAUUUUGGAGAA